AAAGGUUUGAGUAUCGUAGAGAUUCUGACGUGCAAAUCGAUACUCUGGUGGAGGCUCGUAGAGAUUCUGACGUGCAAACCAUCUAGUAAAUCGAUAUAGGGGCGAAAGACUAGGGGCAAAGAUCAGUUUUAUGAGGUAUUCCGAGGUAAAGCGAAUGAUUAGAGGAGCAGAAACUCUAUUCUCAAACUUAAAUAUGUAAAAUAUGUAAGACGCCCAUUGGACGUGGGCCAUCGCUUAAUUGGACGUGGGCCAUACGGUAAGCAGAACUGGCGAUGCGGGAUGAACCGAACGUGAGGUUAAGGUGCCGGAAUGUACGCUCAUCAGACACCAGCAAAGGUGUUAGUUCAUCUAGACAGCAGGACGGUGGCCAUGGAAGUCGGAAUCCGCUAAGGAGUGUGUAACAACUCACCUGCCGAAUGAACUAGCCCUGAAAAUGGAUGGCGCUUAAGCGUACUACCCAUACCUCACCGUCUGGGUUAUGUAAUAAUUGAGAAGCUCAGACGAGUAGGCGGGCGUGGAGGUUUGUGACGAAGCCUUGGGCGUGAGCCUGGGUCGAACAGCCUCUAGUGCAGAUCUUGGUGGAAGUAGCAAAUAUUCAAAUGAGAACUUUGAAGACUGAAGUGGGGAAAGGUUCCAUGGGAACAGCAGUUGGCCAUGGGUUAGUCGAUCCUAAGAGAUAGGGAAGCUCCGUAUGAAAGUUGCACGAUUUUCGUGCCUCCUAUCGAAAGGGAUCCGGUUAAUAUUCCGGAACCAGAAGGUGGAAUCAACACGGCACGUAAAUGAAGUUGGAGACGUCGGCAGGAGCCCUGGGAAGAGUUCUCUUUCUUUUAACAAACCACGAACUUACCCUGAAAUCGGUUAUCCGGAGCUAGGGUAUGGUGUUUGGAAGAGUUCAGCGCCUCAUGCUGGAUCCGGUGCGCUCUUGACGACCCUUGAAAUCCAACGGAAGAAUGGGGGUUUCGGCUCCUCUUGUUUUCACAUCUGGUCGUACUCAUAACCGCAGCAGGUCUCCAAGGUGAACAGCCUCUAGUUGAUAGAACAAUGUAGAUAAGGGAGUCGGCAAAAUGGAUCCGUAACUUCGGGAUAAGGAUUGGCUCUAAGGGUUGGUACGUUGAACAGUUGCUGGUCCGGAUUCGGCGGACUGGAUGUUUUGCCUUUCGGGGUAGAGGGGUAGAGACGGCUGGCUGGAGGCUGGACCUUGGCUUUUCCUGGUAAGGCUGCUCUCUUCCACGGGGGUAUGCCCUUACUGGCGUACAAUUAACAACCAACUUAGAACUGGUACGGACAAGGGGAAUCUGACUGUCUAAUUAAAACAUAGCAUUGCGAUGGCCAGGUGUUGACGCAAUGUGAUUUCUUGUCUGCCCAGUGCUGUCAAAGUGAAGAAUUCAACCAGCGCGGGUAAACGGCGGGAGUAACUAUGCUCUCUUAAGGUAGCCAAAUGCCUCGUCAUCUAACUAGUGACGCGCAUGAAUGGAUUAACGAGAUUCCCACUGUCCCUAUCUACUAUCUAGCGAACCACAGCCAGGGGAACGGGCCUGGAAAAUCAGCGGGGAAGAAGACCCUGUUGAGCUUGACUCUAGUUUACAUUGUGAAGAGACAUAGAGGGUGUAGGAUAAGUGGGAGUGUAGGGACCUCUCUGCACGCCGGUGAAAUACCACUACCUUUAUCGUUUCUUUACUUAAUCAAUGAAGCGGAAUUGGGAUUAGUUCCCACAUUCUAGCCUUAAGGUUCCUUGCGAACUGAUCCGCGUUGAUGACAUUGUCAGGUGGGGAUUUGGCUGGGGCGGCACAUCUAGUUAAAAGUGUCCUAAGGGGGGCGUCAUCGAGGCUCAUCGAGAACAGAAAAAGGGUAAAGCCCCUUGAUUUUGAUUUUCAGUGUGAAUACAACCAUGAAAGUGUGGCCUAUCGAUCCUUGUUGCCUCGAAAUUUGAGGACAGAGGUGCCAGAAAGUUACCACAGGGAUAACUGGCUUGUGGCAGCCAAGCGUUCAUAGCGACGUUGCUUUUGAUUCUUCGAUGUCGGCUCUUCCUAUCAUACCGAAGCAGAAUUCGGUAAGCGUUGGAUUGUCACCCAUAAUAGGGAACGUGAGCUGGGUUUAGACCGUCGUGAGACAGGUUAGUUUACCUACUGAUGAAGUGUCGUCGCAAUGGUAAUCAACUUAGUACGAGAGGAACCGUUGAUUCAGAUCAUUGGUAUUGCGGCUGCCUGACAAGGCAAUGCCGCGGAGCUAUCAUCUGCUGGAUAAGGCUGAACGCCUCUAAGCCCGAAUCCAUGCCAGAAAGCGACGAUUUGUUGGUCCGCAUAAUUAUGUGUAUACAAAUAGAGUUUUUACUGCAUCAUAGAAGAUGGCGUCGGUUGAUAAGACGGAAGUGUCUUGUUGACUUGUCCAUGAAAUUCCAUUGAAACUUGUGCGGAGUCGAAUCCAUUGCAUACGACUUUAAUGUGGAACGGGUAUUGUAAGCAGUAGAGUAGCCUUGUUGUACGAUCUGCUGAGAUUAAGCCUUUGUUCCCAAGAUUUGUUCCAUAAG
rnacentral:rRNA from 1 species